AGCUGUCCGGGAAGUAAACUACAAAUCCCAGAGUGCCUCGCGCCGGGGACCGCCCUAGGAUCGCUCCUAGCAUCUUAAGGCUCUUCUGUUGGUCCAGUGUGAGCUUCUGCUCCGCCUCCGUCCAGCCCCAGAGCGGUUUCUUCAACUGCGGAUGAGGCGGUGUGCUGGCUCCGCGUGGUUCCCCGGCUAGCCGGCCUUGCCGGCCUCUGUCCUCAGAACUUCUGGUCCGUGUUCAGCAACCGCCGUCCCACGCGACGGGCAGGAGAGAGGCAACUCUGAACUGGACCCGGGGGCACUGGGGCGGACAUCGGGCUACACCAGAGCCAGCCUCGUCUUUGAGCUCGUUUUCCUGCAAGAUAGGCCUUUCUAGCCUAGGGCCCUUCUGGAAUACAUCGGGAGUACCUGCCAAUUCCUCUAACCAGGACAGGGUUCCGACUGCAAUGGGGCUUCCCCUUCUGCACCAGCGGCAUCACCACCAGCCUUCUUGGCUGCUGUUUUUUUCUCUUGUGUGUCAGGCUCCUCAGCUUUUUCACCCACCAUCAUUCAAGAUGGGAAAGAGCUAGGCACAUAACUUUUUUUCAACGAUUUAUUUUUAUUGCAUGUGUCUGAGUGUAUGCCUGCAUGUGUAUUUACCACCACAUAUGUGGCUGAUGCCCCGAGAGUUCAGAAAAGGGUGUGGGAUACCCUGGAAUUGGAGCUACAGGUUGUUGUGAGCUGCCAUGAGUGCUGGGAACCAAACUGGAAGCCUCUGUGGGAGCAGCAAGUGCUCUUGAUCAUUGAGCCAUCCCUCCCGUUGCCUCCAUUUGCUUAGUACAAUCUCUGUACUCAGUGCCUCAUUGGAGGAGAGAAAAGUCAAUGGCAGCCAAUGUUUUGGAUUAUCCCAAGUUUUGGGGUAGCUUGUAGAUCUGCAUAGCUGCAUACUGGAACCCUACCUACCUUCUCUACAUGAGGCUACUCAGUGUGAGACUCCCGUAAAGGAGUCGAAUAAGAUACAGAUUUUAUCUCAAACAGAGAAAGACGGGCUUCAGAAAUCUACAAAAAUGAAAGAAAGGGAUUAGGAAAAAAAAAUUAUAUGUGUCUGUGACACAGAAGCCAAG
rnacentral:lncRNA from 1 species